rnacentral:tRNA from 1 species
GCCGAGGUGGCGGAACCGGCAGACGCGCGCGACUCAAAAUCGCGUGGGGCGACCCCCCGUGAGGGUUCGACUCCCUCCCUCGGCACCA